rnacentral:rRNA from 1 species
GAUGAACGCUGGCGGCGUGCUUAACACAUGCAAGUCGAACGGAAAGGCCCAAGCUUGCUUGGGUACUCGAGUGGCGAACGGGUGAGUAACACGUGGGUGAUCUGCCCUGCACUUCGGGAUAAGCCUGGGAAACUGGGUCUAACACCGGAUAGGACGAUGGUUUGGAUGCCAUUGUGGAAAGUUUUUUCGGUGUGGGAUGAGCUCGCGGCCUAUCAGCUUGUUGGUGGGGUAAUGGCCUACCAAGGCGUCGACGGGUAGCCGGCCUGAGAGGGUGUACGGCCACAUUGGGACUGAGAUACGGCCCAGACUCCUACGGGAGGCAGCAGUGGGGAAUAUUGCACAAUGGGCGCAAGCCUGAUGCAGCGACGCCGCGUGGGGGAUGACGGCCUUCGGGUUGUAAACUCCUUUCGCUAGGGACGAAGCGUUUUUGUGACGGUACCUGGAGAAGAAGCACCGGCUAACUACGUG